UACGUAGGUGGCAAGCGUUGUUCGGAAUUACUGGGCGUAAAGCGUGCGUAGACGGUUAUGUAAGUCAGAUGUGAAAGCCCCGGGCUCAACCUGGGAAUUGCAUUUGAGACUGCAUAGCUAGGGUGCGGAAGAGGGAAGCGGAAUUUCCGGUGUAGCGGUGAAAUGCGUAGAUAUCGGGAGGAACACCGGUGGCGAAGGCGGCGACCUGGGUCGAUACUGACGCUGAGGUGCGAAAGCGUGGGGAGCAAACAGG
rnacentral:rRNA from 1 species